AGGGGGAGCUCGAGGGAGAAGAGGGGAAGAGAGGAGGGGACGACGCGGCUGGGUCCUUCCCGCCGUCGUCGUUGUCGUUGAGGCGCCGGAGGAGAGAGAGAUUUGCUUUGCAGAGGCGUUGAGGGAGAGAGGGAGCCGCGCUCUGCUGCCGAUCCGCCACCGAACUGCCGCACGCGGGGAGCCAUUGCCAUCGCGAGCUGUAGCGCCGCACAGUCCAGCCACCGUGACCUCCGUAGAGCCACCGUCGUUGCGCUGUUCCGCCGUCACCGCUGUUGCCCUAGAGCUCGUCAUUGAGCAGGACCGAGAUGAAAGAGAGCGCGAGCGAGAGAACAGAGAGUCUUAUUGAAGACCUCCCUUUGAAGGUGUAAAGUGUACAACCUUUAGACUCUGUAUUUUUUUUCCAGCUUCUAAUGAAAAAUUUGAAUCUCUGAGACUUAAUAAGUAUGUUCCAUCGUGCAUUCAACCUCUGGAAGUCAUGAUUCAGUAUGGUAAAGAUUAUGAAUUUGAUGCUCCAGUGAAGCUCCUAGAGAAACAUCUACAUGCUAUGGCACAAUCUGUUGAUGAGCAACUUCUUGUUGUUUCUCAGGUCUUGGCUUCUUAAUCAAUGGUUGAUUUGAAAUGCUUACCCCUCCUCCUUUUGGAUUCAUAUAGGUUAUUGCUUUCAAUGAUAAGCCUGUGAAGAAUUUGAAGGGCUUGGCCACCAUGGUUGAGAACUGUGAUGAUGAGUUUCUAAAGUUUGAUCUGGAAUACCAACAGGAUGUGACAGCAACUAAAAGAAAUGAAUUUGAGGAUUAUUUUUUGAAGCGAGAGUUGCUCAUGGGAAUAUAUGAGAAGGGUUUUGAAAGGCCUUCUCCUAUCCAAGAAGAAAGCAUUCCAAUUGCUCUUACUGGUAGUGACAUUCUUGCAAGGGCUAAAAAUGGGACAGGCAAAACAGCUGCAUUUUACAUUCUUGCAUUGGAAAAAA